rnacentral:rRNA from 1 species
UACGUAGGCAGCAAGCGUUGUUCGGAAUUACUGGGCGUAAAGAGUGUGUAGGCGGUGCUCUAAGUCUGUUGUGAAAUCUCCCGGCUUAACCGGGAGGGUGCGGCGGAAACUGGAGUGCUUGAGGGUGGGAGAGGUAAGCGGAAUUCCUGGUGUAGCGGUGAAAUGCGUAGAUAUCAGGAGGAACACCUGUGGUGUAGACAGCUUACUGGACCACUUCUGACGCUGAGACACGAAAGCGUGGGGAGCAAACGGG